rnacentral:rRNA from 1 species
AUUGAACGCUGGCGGCAGGCCUAACACAUGCAAGUCGAGCGGCAGCGGGUCCUUCGGGAUGCCGGCGAGCGGCGGACGGGUGAGUAAUGCCUAGGAAUCUGCCUGGUAGUGGGGGAUAACGUUCGGAAACGGACGCUAAUACCGCAUACGUCCUACGGGAGAAAGUGGGGGAUCUUCGGACCUCACGCUAUCAGAUGAGCCUAGGUCGGAUUAGCUAGUUGGUGGGGUAAACGCUCACCAAGGCGACGAUCCGUAACUGGUCUGAGUGGAUGGUCAGGUACACUGGAAGGGAGACACGGUCCAGACUCCUGCGGGAGGCAGCAGUGGGGAAUAUUGGACGAUGGGCGAAAGCCUGAUCCAGCCAUGCCGCGUGUGUGAAGAAGGUCUUCGGACUGUAAAGCACUUUAAGUUGGGAGGAAGGGCAGUCAGUUAAUACCUGGUUGUUUUGACGUUACCAACAGAAUGAGCACCGGCUAACUUCGUGCCAGCCGCCGCGGUAACAC